UUUAAAAGUUUACUUAACUUGCCCGAUAGACAAGUAAAAAAUUGCAGAAAGUACUCUGACAUAUCAAAAUGUCAACAAGUAAGAGAUAAAAUGCAAGAUAUCAAAUACAAUUAGUUUGCUUACAUUUAUAACUGUUUUUACUGAAGAUAAGUUUGCAUAUUUGAUCAAUAAUUGCUUAGAAAUGUCCUGAUAAAAAUAUUCGGGCAACCAGUUUUUACUUCGGACAACCAAAUUUUCUUGAAUUGGUGACCCAAAUGACAACAAUUAUUCAACCCUCAUUUCACAAACUGCCCUUUAAUUUUAAAUUUGACCCUUAAUUAUUUCAAAUGACCCCCAUAUUUUAAUACAAAGGGCCACAAUGAUCCUCAAAAAAAUUAGCCUGGUUGCUUAGAUUUUGGUCAGAAAAUGAUUUUAUUAUGGUCAGAUACUGGUUAAAUUUUUGUAAGAACCUGGUUAGAUUCAGGUCUUAAAUAAAGAAAGAAAUGUAAUUGGUUUAUAGCUGAACGGGGCAAAAGUUUUAGUCAUAUGUGAGUCACGUACGACUAGCUAGGACUAGGGUUGGAUAUCGUUCUUCACGAAACGGUCCGAUACCGAUACCGGUACCGACGAAACGAUACGGGUAUUUUAUCGAUACUGAUACUGAUACUUUUACAAUACCAAACCCUUUGCUGCAAGUAUAAGAACUGAAGAGAUAUAACAUCAGGGCUCGCGCUGGCAGGAGCCAAUGAGCAAAUUGGCUCCAAAAUUAUUAAAUUGGCUCAAGAAAAUCAUGAUUGGCUCCAACUUACGAAAAGUAUGACUUUUGGAAUAUCCAGUCUAAAUUUAGCAUUUGCUAUUUUAAGAAUGGAAAAGUACACAUUUGGUUUUCCAUUUACAACUUCCGCUUUACCCUUCUUAUCACAAAACACUGCGACACAGUCUGCUUUUUGUGGGGUCAUUGACUGGUCUAUAUUUGUUACUUCCCUUCCAAAUAAAAUAUCGUUAUAAACAGUAACACAGUCUAAUACACUGACCUCAUGGUAUGUUUACAUGUUUAUCAGCUGAUAAAUAUGACACUAAUUGGUGUGAAUUGUUGAAUGUGCACUGGAUAAUUGGUCUUUAUAUUCGAUAUGAAACAAUAACUAGCAGCAUCUUAAGAUUAUCGCCAAUCAUAUCAACAGCUUGGUUAUGAAAUGGACGACUUUACGAUACAGAUAGUCCUCAAACCAAAUCUUUGGCAUUAACCAAGCAAGCUGAAGCAGCACAUUGGAAUGUGGUUCUGAUGUCACUGUCAUGCCACUAACUUAGAUUUUAUGAAAACAUUGCUGACCAAAUUAGCCUGGAAAAUGUUAUUCUUAUAGCUACUGAGCUGCAAGCUUUUAUGAUCAGUUUUAAAGUGAAUAAAAUGUAGCUACCAAAAUAAAGUUGGAUAUACAUGUA